AGUUGCUUCAUUUGAUAAUAUUGGGUCAUGCCUAAAGACGGAGAUUUUGAAACGAAAGACUUGGAAAACCCAAGUAUUAUCUUGACCGGCAGAUCGAGUAUCUCCUUGAAGGAAUGUUACACACCAGUUACUACUUGAAAAACG